UACGUAGGGUGCGAGCGUUGUCCGGAAUUACUGGGCGUAAAGAGCUCGUAGGCGGCUCAGGAAGUCGGGUGUGAAAACUCCAGGCUCAACCUGGAGACGCCACCUGAUACUGCUGUGGCUAGAUUCCGGUAGGGGAGCAUGGAAUUCCUGGUGUAGCGGUGAAAUGCGCAGAUAUCAGGAGGAACACCGGUGGCGAAGGCGGGUCUCUGGGCCGAUACUGACGCUGAGGAGCGAAAGCGUGGGGAGCGAACAGG
rnacentral:rRNA from 1 species